AGCCACACUGGUUCGACUGGGAUACUCAUCAAAUAAUACUGAAAACCGAGAAUGCUUGCGCAUUUCAAUGGCGGGCCGCGCCUCGUGAGAGGUAGUACGCGAGUACCGGCGGAUUACAAAGAAUGCGGGCGCUCAAAACUUAAUGACUCGGAGUUUCAUCGCAUCACCAGUGUGGUUUUUU
rnacentral:sRNA from 1 species